CGGGGGAGCAAGCGUUGUUCGGAUUUACUGGGCGUAAAGGGCGCGUAGGCGGUCAGCACAAGUCAGUUGUGAAAUCUCCGGGCUUAACUCGGAAAGGUCAACUGAUACUGUGCGACUAGAGUGCAGAAGGGGCAACUGGAAUUCUCGGUGUAGCGGUGAAAUGCGUAGAUAUCGAGAGGAACACCUGCGGCGAAGGCGGGUUGCUGGGCUGACACUGACGCUGAGGCGCGAAAGCCAGGGGAGCGAACGGGAUUAGAUACCCCGGUAGUCCUGGCCUUAAACGAUGGAUGCUUGGUGUCUGGAGUUAUAUAGUCUCCGGGUGCCGCAGCUAACGCGUUAAGCAUCCCGCCUGGGGAGUACGGUCGCAAGACUG
rnacentral:rRNA from 1 species